CCUACGGGAGGCAGCAGUGAGGAAUAUUGGUCAAUGGACGAGAGUCUGAACCAGCCAAGUAGCGUGAAGGAUGACUGCCCUAUGGGUUGUAAACUUCUUUUAUAUGGGAAUAAAAUGUUCCACGUGUGGGAUUUUGUAUGUACCAUAUGAAUAAGGAUCGGCUAACUCCGUGCCAGCAGCCGCGGUAAUACGGAGGAUCCGAGCGUUAUCCGGAUUUAUUGGGUUUAAAGGGAGCGUAGGUGGAUUGUUAAGUCAGUUGUGAAAGUUUGCGGCUCAACCGUAAAAUUGCAGUUGAAACUGGCAGUCGUGAGUACAGUAGAGGUGGGCGGAAUUCGUGGUGUAGCGGUGAAAUUCUUAGAUAUCACGAAGAACUCCGAUUGCGAAGGCAGCUCACUGGACUGCAACUGACACUGAGGCUCGAAAGUGUGGGUAUCAAACAGGAUUAGUACCCCAGUAGUC
rnacentral:rRNA from 1 species